rnacentral:miRNA from 1 species
CCUUUUCUAUCCCUGGGACUGG